AGAACGAACGCUGGCGGCAUGCCUAACACAUGCAAGUCGAACGAGACCUUCGGGUCUAGUGGCGCACGGGUGCGUAACGCGUGGGAAUCUGCCCUUUGCUUCGGAAUAACAGUUAGAAAUGACUGCUAAUACCGGAUGAUGUCUUCGGACCAAAGAUUUAUCGGCAAAGGAUAAGCCCGCGUAGGAUUAGGUAGUUGGUGGGGUAAAGGCCUACCAAGCCGACGAUCCUUAGCUGGUCUGAGAGGAUGAUCAGCCACACUGGGACUGAGACACGGCCCAGACUCCUACGGGAGGCAGCAGUGGGGAAUAUUGGACAAUGGGCGCAAGCCUGAUCCAGCAAUGCCGCGUGAGUGAUGAAGGCCUUCGGGUCGUAAAGCUCUUUUACCAGGGAUGAUAAUGACAGUACCUGGAGAAUAAGCUCCGGCUAACUCCGUG
rnacentral:rRNA from 1 species